UUUGAGCAGCGCACUUGUCUGGUGACGUCAUCGAAAGCUGAUUUUCGGUUUUAUGUAAAGUCUUCCAUCAUUUAGACAGUUGGCAGGUAGACGUGUCAGUACGAUUAGUGGUUCGGCAGUUAUCCAUUUCAGUUCAUCUGCUCCAACGUAGAUUUGGAAAAAAAAUUAAGGGAAUGAUGGUACAAUGAAUAUUGAAGACGGGUUGAAAAAAGAAGAAGCUGCUGCCAUCCCAAGAUUCUUCAUUACUUCAAUAUCCCAUUAUUUCCUUUUCCUCCACCCCAUCGGGGGCGGUGCCCCUGAUCGGGUGGAGGCGCUCCUAAGGGCUUGCAUAGUAGGCGUGUUGGCCUACUGUGCGAGUCCUUGGAUGUUUUUUUUUUUUUUCCACAUGACCGUGAGUUUUAACUUUGCUAUUACUAAUAAUUUCUUAAACUGAUAAUCUAGUAAUUUCAGUAGAUUAGUGUUGCACUUAAUGCUUUGAACAAAUGCAAUGGUUUGUAUAAAUGUGAUGGUUUGUAUAAAACUGGUAAGAGUUCCUUCCUGUCUUAUUAGUUAACUUGCAUUAGUAAGCCAUAUAGUAUGUUUUUAUGGUUAUUGAAUUUAUUAGCUUAAUCCACCCUGGUUUUAGCCAUUUCUCACCCUAAUACAGUAAUUUCAUAUGUAACAAAGUUCUCUGUUUAGGUCAGUUUGACCUUUAUAAAAAAAACUGUAGAAUGAUUACUUCUGGAUUAGUGUUUCUGGUUUUUAAAGACCCAAUUUCAUUUUUAGUUUUGGAUCAUGAAAUCUAUUAAAAUCUUAAAAUCCAUGGUUGUAACUUUUAAGAUAUUUGGUAUUUGUUAGCAUUUUGAAGAUUUGAAGGAGGUUCGAUGUUUUAUGUAAUUUUAAAUAAAAAAAGCUUAACGUAAUGAGCAACAGUGUCCGUUAACGUUUCAUAUUUUUCUACUUUGUAUUAAGGUUUGUUUUUAAUUUAGUUUUACCCAAAGUUUUUCCCGUCGCUUUUCAUGACUUAAAGGUGACCUUCUUGCUCUGAGGGGUUUAGAAUAGCUGACUCGAGGAUUUGGAGCAAUUGUGUGAUUAGUUCGUGGAAUACUCAUUUUUCCAUCUGUUACAGAACAGAGGCUUUCCUAAUUUUAGUUUUGAAGUGUGUUAAACCAGGUUUUGAGAAUAAGUCAUUCUGUAACCGUAGAUUUAAGACUAAGAAAGAUUCCAGUGUGCGCGCCAUCCUGUAAUUACCAAAGUUGGUAACCACAUAAAAUUGACCCCGAUUGUCAAAAAAGGGUACAUAAGCAGUUAAAUUUUUUUAUUUUUAAGAUUCAAGGAUAUGAAAUUUUUAGAGGUAUCUUAAGUUAUAAUUUUGACUAGUACUGUAUAUCAAAUUGUUAACGAAUAAAUAAAGGAAAUUGACAUUC